rnacentral:rRNA from 1 species
GACUAACGCUAGCGGCGUGCUUAACACAUGCAAGUCGAACGGUAAGGCCCUUCGGGGUACACGAGUGGCGAACGGGUGAGUAACACGUGGGUGAUCUGCCCUGCACUUCGGGAUAAGCCUGGGAAACUGGGUCUAAUACCGGAUAGGACUCCUGGCUUCAUGGUUGGGGGUGGAAAGCUUUUGCGGUGUGGGAUGGGCCCGCGGCCUAUCAGCUUGUUGGUGGGGUAAUGGCCUACCAAGGCGACGACGGGUAGCCGGCCUGAGAGGGUGACCGGCCACACUGGGACUGAGAUACGGCCCAGACUCCUACGGGAGGCAGCAGUGGGGAAUAUUGCACAAUGGGCGCAAGCCUGAUGCAGCGACGCCGCGUGAGGGAUGACGGCCUUCGGGUUGUAAACCUCUUUCAGCAUCGACGAAGCGAAAGUGACGGUAGGUGCAGAAGAAGGACCGGCCAACUACGUGCCAGCAGCCGCGGUAA